UACGUAGGGGGCAAGCGUUGUCCGGAUUUACUGGGCGUAAAGAGCGUGUAGGCGGCCAAACAGGUCCGUUGUGAAAACCUGGAGGCUCAACCUCCGGACGUCGACGGAAACCGUGUGGCUAGGGUCCGGAAGAGGAGAGUGGAAUUCCUGGUGUAGCGGUGAAAUGCGCAGAUAUCAGGAAGAACACCAAUGGCGAAGGCAGCUCUCUGGGACGGUACUGGACGCUGAGGCGCGAAAGCUAGGGGAGCGAACAGG
rnacentral:rRNA from 1 species